rnacentral:rRNA from 1 species
AACGAACGCUGGCGGCAGGCUUAACACAUGCAAGUCGAGCGCCCCGCAAGGGGAGCGGCAGACGGGUGAGUAACGCGUGGGAAUCUACCCAUCUCUACGGAAUAACGCAUGGAAACGUGUGCUAAUACCGUAUACGUCCUUCGGGAGAAAGAUUUAUCGGAUAUGGAUGAGCCCGCGUUGGAUUAGCUAGUUGGUGGGGUAAAGGCCUACCAAGGCGACGAUCCAUAGCUGGUCUGAGAGGAUGAUCAGCCACACUGGGGCAGAGACACGGCCCAGACUCCUACGGGAGGCAGCAGUGGGGAACAUUGGACAAUGGGCGCAAGCCUGAUCCAGCCAGGCCGCGUGAGUGAUGUAGGCCCUAGGGUUGUAAAGCUCUUUCACCGGUGAAGAUAAUGGCGGUAACCGGAGAAGAAGCCCCGGCUAACUUCGUGCCAGCAGCCGCCGUAAAAC